rnacentral:rRNA from 1 species
AUGAACGCUAGCUACAGGCUUAACACAUGCAAGUCGAGGGGCAGCAUGGUCUUAGCUUGCUAAGGCCGAUGGCGACCGGCGCACGGGUGAGUAACACGUAUCCAACCUGCCGUCUACUCUUGGACAGCCUUCUGAAAGGAAGAUUAAUACAAGAUGGCAUCAUGAGUCCGCAUGUUCACAUGAUUAAAGGUAUUCCGGUAGACGAUGGGGAUGCGUUCCAUUAGAUAGUAGGCGGGGUAACGGCCCACCUAGUCUUCGAUGGAUAGGGGUUCUGAGAGGAAGGUCCCCCACAUUGGAACUGAGACACGGUCCAAACUCCUACGGGAGGCAGCAGUGAGGAAUAUUGGUCAAUGGGCGAGAGCCUGAACCAGCCAAGUAGCGUGAAGGAUGACUGCCCUAUGGGUUGUAAACUUCUUUUAUAAAGGAAUAAAGUCGGGUAUGGAUACCCGUUUGCAUGUACUUUAUGAAUAAGGAUCGGCUAACUCCGUGCCAGCAGCCGCGGUAAUACGGAGGAUCCGAGCGUUAUCCGGAUUUAUUGGGUUUAAAGGGAGCGUAGAUGGAUGUUUAAGUCAGUUGUGAAAGUUUGCGGCUCAACCGUAAAAUUGCAGUUGAUACUGGAUAUCUUGAGUGCAGUUGAGGCAGGCAGAAUUCGUGGUGUAGCGGUGAAAUGCUUAGAUAUCACGAAGAACUCCGAUUGCGAAGGCAGCCUGCUAAGCUGCAACUGACAUUGAGGCUCGAAAGUGUGGGUAUCAAACAGGAUUAGAUACCCUGGUAGUCCACACGGUAAACGAUGAAUACUCGCUGUUUGCGAUAUACUGCAAGCGGCCAAGCGAAAGCGUUAAGUAUUCCACCUGGGGAGUACGCCGGCAACGGUGAAACUCAAAGGAAUUGACGGGGGCCCGCACAAGCGGAGGAACAUGUGGUUUAAUUCGAUGAUACGCGAGGAACCUUACCCGGGCUUAAAUUGCAGAUGAAUUACGGUGAAAGCCGUAAGCCGCAAGGCAUCUGUGAAGGUGCUGCAUGGUUGUCGUCAGCUCGUGCCGUGAGGUGUCGGCUUAAGUGCCAUAACGAGCGCAACCCUUGUUGUCAGUUACUAACAGGUUCCGCUGAGGACUCUGACAAGACUGCCAUCGUAAGAUGUGAGGAAGGUGGGGAUGACGUCAAAUCAGCACGGCCCUUACGUCCGGGGCUACACACGUGUUACAAUGGGGGGUACAGAGGGCCGCUACCACGCGAGUGGAUGCCAAUCCCCAAAACCUCUCUCAGUUCGGACUGGAGUCUGCAACCCGACUCCACGAAGCUGGAUUCGCUAGUAAUCGCGCAUCAGCCACGGCGCGGUGAAUACGUUCCCGGGCCUUGUACACACCGCCCGUCAAGCCAUGGGAGCCGGGGGUACCUGAAGUGCGUAACCGCGAGGAGCGCCCUAGGGUAAAACUGGUGACUGGGGCU